GGUCAAGUUAUUAAGGGUGCAGGGCGGAUGCCUUGGCACUAGGAGCCGAUGAAGGACGUGAUAAGCUGCGAUAAGCUUCGGGGAGUUGCACGUAAACUUUGAUCCGAAGAUUUCCGAAUGAGGAAACUCACUUAGAGUAAUGUCUAAGUAUCAUUAAGUGAAUACAUAGCUUAAUGAGGGGAACUCAGGGAACUGAAACAUCUAAGUACCUGAAGGAAGAGAAAGAAAUUCGAUUCCGUAAGUAGCGGCGAGCGAACGCGGAUUAGCCCAAACCAAUAAAGUUUUCUUUAUUGGGGUUGCGGACAUAUCAUAACGAAGAGGUAUCGUAAUUGAAGAGGUUUGGAAAGACCCACCACAGAAGGUAAUAGUCCUGUAUGUUAAACGAGAAGACUUUAGAUAUGAUCCAGAGUACCACGGGACACGUGAAACCCUGUGGGAAGCAGGAGGGACCACCCUCCAAGGCUAAAUACUACCUAGUGACCGAUAGCGUAUAGUACCGUGAGGGAAAGGUGAAAAGAACCCCGGGAGGGGAGUGAAAUAGAACCUGAAACCCUGCACUUACAAGCUGUGGAAGCACAUUUCUUGUGUGACCGCGUACUUUUUGUAGAACGGGCCAACGAGUUACGUUAAGUAGCAAGGUUAAGCACUUAAGGUGCGGAGCCGUAGCGAAAGCGAGUUUUAACUGAGCGUUCAGUUACUUGACGUAGACCCGAAACCGGGCGACCUACCCAUGAGCAGGAUGAAGCGAAAGUAAAAUUUCGUGGAGGUCCGAACCCACGAGCGUUGAAAAGCUCGGGGAUGACUUGUGGGUAGCGGUGAAAUUCCAAUCGAGCCCGGAGAUAGCUGGUUCUCCCCGAAAUAGCUUUAGGGCUAGCCUCAAGGUGAGAGAUACGGAGGUAGAGCACUGAAUGUCCUAGGGGGUAUUGCACCUACCGAAGACUAUCAAACUCCGAAUGCCGUCAUCUUAUACUUGGGAGUCAGACUGUGGGUGAUAAGAUUCAUAGUCGAAAGGGCAACAGCCCAGAUCGUCAGCUAAGGUCCCUAAAUGUAAGUUAAGUGGUAAAGGAUGUGGGAUUGCACAGACAACCAGGAUGUUGGCUUAGAAGCAGCCACUCAUUCAAAGAGUGCGUAAUAGCUCACUGGUCGAGUGAUCCUGCGCCGAAGAUUUCCGGGGCUAAAACUUACUACCGAAGCUACGGCAUCAGUAAUGAUGGGUAGGGGAGCUUCCCAUACGGGUUGAAGCAUGACCGUAAGGACAUGUGGACAGUAUGGGAGUGAGAAUGUUGGCAUGAGUAGCGAGAUGUGGGUGAGAAUCCCACAGGCCGUAAACCCAAGGUUUCCAGGGGAAGGUUCGUCCGCCCUGGGUUAGUCGGGACCUAAGCUGAGGCCGAAAGGCGUAGGUGAUGGACAACAGGUUGAUAUUCCUGUACUA
rnacentral:rRNA from 1 species